rnacentral:rRNA from 1 species
AGAGUUUGAUCAUGGCUCAGGACGAACGCUGGCGGCGUGCUUAAUACAUGCAAGUCGAGCGAGGUUACUGUUUUGGAUCCCUUCGGGGCGAAGAAGCUUUAACCUAGCGGCGAACGGGUGAGUAACGCGUGGGUAACCUACCCCAAAGUCCGGGAUAACAGCGGGAAACCGCUGCUAAUACCGGAUGUCUUUACCUUGGGGCAUCUUGAGGUAAAGAAAGGUAACGCUUUGGGAUGGGCCCGCGUCCCAUUAGCUAGUUGGUGAGGUAACGGCUCACCAAGGCGACGAUGGGUAGCCGGCCUGAGAGGGUGGACGGCCACACUGGGACUGAGACACGGCCCAGACUCCUACGGGAGGCAGCAGUAGGGAAUAUUGCGCAAUGGACGGAAGUCUGACGCAGCGACGCCGCGUGAGCGAUGAAGGUCUUCGGAUCGUAAAGCUCUGUCCUUGGGGAAGAAGGUCUUCGGACUUGACGGUACCCAAGAAGAAAGCCCCGGCUAACUACGUGCCAGCAGCCGCGGUAAUACGUAGGGGGCGAGCGUUGUCCGGAAUUACUGGGCGUAAAGGGUGCGUAGGCGGCCCUUUAAGUCGGAUGUGAAAGCCCGCGGCUUAACCGCGGAAUGGCAUUCGAAACUGGAGGGCUUGAGUGUCGGAGAGGGUAGUGGAAUUCCCAGUGUAGCGGUGAAAUGCGUAGAUAUUGGGAGGAACACCAGUGGCGAAGGCGACUACCUGGACGAUAACUGACGCUGAGGCACGAAAGCUAGGGGAGCAAACAGGAUUAGAUACCCUGGUAGUCCUAGCCGUAAACGAUGGGUACUAGGUGUGGGUGGUUUCGAUACCAUCCGUGCCGUAGUUAACGCAUUAAGUACCCCGCCUGGGGAGUACGUGCGCAAGCAUGAAACUCAAAUGAAUUGACGG